AGUGAACGCUGGCGGUAGGCCUAACACAUGCAAGUCGAACGGCAGCACAGUAAGAGCUUGCUCUUACGGGUGGCGAGUGGCGGACGGGUGAGGAAUACAUCGGAAUCUACUUUUUCGUGGGGGAUAACGUAGGGAAACUUACGCUAAUACCGCAUACGACCUACGGGUGAAAGUAGGGGAUCUUCGGACCUUGCGCGAUUGAAUGAGCCGAUGUCGGAUUAGCUAGUUGGCGGGGUAAAGGCCCACCAAGGCGACGAUCCGUAGCUGGUCUGAGAGGAUGAUCAGCCACAGUGGAACUGAGACACGGUCCAGACUCCUACGGGAGGCAGCAGUGGGGAAUAUUGGACAAUGGGCGCAAGCCUGAUCCAGCCAUACCGCGUGGGUGAAGAAGGCCUUCGGGUUGUAAAGCCCUUUUGUUGGGAAAGAAAAGCAGCAGGUUAAUACCCCGCUGUUCUGACGGUACCCAAAGAAUAAGCACCGGCUAACUUCGUG
rnacentral:rRNA from 1 species